GACCGAUAGUGAACCAGUACCGUGAGGGAAAGUGAAAAGUACUUCGAAUAGAAGGUGAAAUAGAUCCUGAAACCAUACGCUUACAAACUGUCGUAGCCCUCUUAAUUUUAUUAAGAGUAGGGUGACGACGUGCCUUUUGCAUAAUGAACCUACGAGUUAAUUUUUCCGGCAAGGUUAAGUAGUUCAGCUAUGGAGCCGUAGCGAAAGCGAGUCUGAAUAGGGCAUUUAGUCGGAAGAAUUAGACGCGAAACCGAGUGAUCUACCCAUGAGCAGGUUGAAACUGUGGUAACACAUAGUGGAGGACCGAACCGGUUGACGUUGAAAAGUCUUCGGAUGACUUGUGGGUAGGGGUGAAAGGCUAAUCAAACUCGGAGAUAGCUCGUACUCCCCGAAAUGCAUUUAGGUGCAGCAUCGUGUUAAAUAUAACAGAGGUAGAGCUACUGAUUGGAUGAAGGGGUUUCAUCACCUGCUAAUUCCUGAUAAACUCCGAAUGCUGUUAUUAUGUUUCACGGUAGUGAGGGCAUGGGUGCUAAGAUCCAUGUCCAAGAGGGAAACAACCCAGACCAUCAGUUAAGGCCCCUAAGUAUAUAUUAAGUUGUAUAAACAAAGUUUAAUUACACAGACAGCUAGGAUGUUGGCUUGGAAGCAG
rnacentral:rRNA from 1 species